rnacentral:antisense_RNA from 1 species
CUUCACCGAGCCCAGCCACAGCGGCCCGCCGGAACGGUCCUGGCCGUAGGUGGCGAGCAGCGCCUGCGCCUC